rnacentral:rRNA from 1 species
UAGUAUUCAAUUGUCAGAGGUGAAAUUCUUGGAUUUAUUGAAGACUAACUACUGCGAAAUCAUGUGCCAAGGAUGUUUUCAUUAAUCAAGAACGAAAGUUAGGGGAUCGAAGACGAUCAGAUACCGUCGUAGUCUUAACCAUAAACUAUGCCGACUAGGGAUCGGAUGAUGUUAAUUUUUUAAUGACUCA